UACGAAGGGGGCUAGCGUUGCUCGGAAUCACUGGGCGUAAAGCGCACGUAGGCGGCUUCUCAAGUCAGGGGUGAAAUCCUGGAGCUCAACUCCAGAACUGCCUUUGAUACUGAGGGGCUCGAGUCCGGGAGAGGUGAGUGGAACUGCGAGUGUAGAGGUGAAAUUCGUAGAUAUUCGCAAGAACACCAGUGGCGAAGGCGGCUCACUGGCCCGGUACUGACGCUGAGACGCGAAAGCGUGGGGAGCGAACAGG
rnacentral:rRNA from 1 species